AGCUGACAACUUAUAAAUAAAACAUUUUGAAGAAUUUAUGAGAGGAUAGAUUGUGACAAAAGUUCGCCGCCUUAGUCUUCCUCUUCCUUGCAUAAAAGGGCUCUAGGGUUCAUUUGUUGGAAGAGAGAAGAGAGACCGAAACACGAGAGGAGGCCGUUGCAGCCGCCAGGUCUUGUUGGAAUUUAUUUUGCAUUUGGAUUGUUCUUGAGAAUUGAAUACAGCUCGAUAUUGAAAUCCAAGUUUCUGAGACCAGGAAAAGCCAUGGCUGAAGAAGCAGGCAUGUUUAUGGUACAUCAAACCGUUGGCAGUGUUCUUUGUUGCAAAUGUGGUAUACCAAUGACACCGAAUGCUGCAAAUAUGUGUGUCAAGUGUUUGCGCUCUGAAAUUGAUAUUACAGAAGGUUUGCAGAAGCAUGUGACCAUCGUGCACUGCCCUGAGUGUGAUACCUACUUGCAGCCACCGAAAACUUGGAUUAAGGCACAAUUGGAGUCGAAAGAGCUCUUAACAUUUUGCGUGAAGAGACUAAAGAAUUUGAAUAAAGUUAGGUUAAUUCAUGCAGAAUUUAUUUGGACUGAGCCUCAUUCCAAGAGGAUCAAGGUCAAGCUAAGGGUUCAGAAGGAGGUUCUCAACGGAGCAAUACUUGAGCAGGCUUAUAUUGUUGAAUUUGUUCAGCAAGAGCACAUGUGUGAAUCUUGUUCUAGAGUCCAGGCCAAUCCAGACCAAUGGGUGGCUUCCGUGCAGCUUCGGCAACAUGUUCCUCACAGACGGACUUUCUUUUAUUUGGAGCAGCUUAUUCUUAGGCAUGAUGCUGCAGGCCGUGCUAUAAAAAUUAAGCAAAUGGAUCAGGGUAUUGAUUUCUUCUUUGCUAAUCGGAGUCAUGGUGUAAAAUUUGUGGAGUUUAUUGGUAAAGUGACUCCAAGUAGGAGCCGUCAUGACAAACAACUUGUGUCCCAUGAUACCAAGAGCAAUAACUACAAUUAUAAGUACACUUUCUCUGUUGAAAUCUGUCCAAUAUGCCGUGAGGAUCUGAUCUGCCUCCCUCCAAAAGUUGCUGUUAGUUUGGGAAAUCUUGGUCCUCUAGUGAUUUGCACAAAAGUGAGCAACAAUAUUGCUUUACUGGAUCCUUUUACUCUUAGGCACUGUUUCUUGGAUGCUGAUCAGUAUUGGAGAUCAUCUUUUAAGGCUCUACUGUCUAGUAGGCAGCUUGUGGAAUAUAUAGUAUUGGAUGUGGAGAUUGUUUCUUCUGAAGUUAAUGUUGGUGGCUCAAAGUAUGCAUUAGCUGAUGCUCAAGUGGCUCGUGUAUCAGAUUUUGGGAAGAAUGAUACAAUUUUCAACAUAAGAACACAUCUAGGUCAUCUUUUAAACCCUGGGGACCAUGCUCUGGGUUAUGACGUAUAUGCAGCUAAUAGUAAUGAUAUGGAACUUGAAAAAUACAGGGGUUUUGUCCUUCCAGAAGCAAUUUUGAUAAAGAAGAGUUAUGAGGAGAAGCGCCAAAGAAAGCGUGGAAAGCCUCGUUCAUGGAAGCUUAAAUCCCUUAACAUGGAAGUGGAUGAUUCCAAGGGUAGAGCUGACCAAGAGAAGAUGAAUACAGAGUAUGAAGUGUUCUUAAGAGAUUUGGAGGAGGACCCUGAGUUGAGGUUUAAUAUAUCAUUAUAUCGAAAUAAGGAAUAUCAACCAUCAGAGAUGGCUUCUAUGACCGAUGGAGAGGAUUUACCUUCUGUGCCUUUGGAGGAGUUGCUUGCUGAUCUAGAUUUGAGUGAAGAAGAAGAUGGAGAUGUUAGCAUGAGGGAAUGACCUGAAGUGGCAUUUUUUCCAGUUUUGCUGUAUCUGAAUUUGGGUUCUCAGAAUAUGUGGACUUGUGAGGGCAUGUGCACAAGACGGUGGCAUUGGCAUAUGGUACAAGCUACAUCAGAUUUAUUUCAGAGAUGGAGACAUGGAUCCUCAAUGUUUCGUGUGGAGAUCACUUUCUUGUUUGGAGUUCUGCCACCAGUUUGAUGAUUUAAAAUUUACAAUUAUGUAUUAGAAAAGAUUCUUCUUGAGGGGGUUUAUGUGUAAGAAUGAUAUUUGGUAGUGAAGUUUGUAGAUGAUGCUUUGGGACAAUAGGUUGGGCAUGCUGGAAAAAGACCAAUUUACUGAUGAAAGAGGAGAAUGCUUAGAAGAUGGUUAGCGGGCUGCUGUUUCCGUCUCCUUCUAAGAUUACUUGUCUUGCUAUGUUUUUGUAGUUUUAUUUGAGAUAUAAUUGAUGAUUUUACAUUGCUCUUUUCUUGGAUUUA